rnacentral:rRNA from 1 species
CAAUCUGCCCUAAAGACUGGGAUACCACUUGGAAACAGGUGCUAAUACCGGAUAACAACAUGAAUCGCAUGAUUCAAGUUUGAAAGGCGGCGCAAGCUGUCACUUUAGGAUGAGCCCGCGGCGCAUUAGCUAGUUGGUGGGGUAAAGGCCUACCAAGGCAAUGAUGCGUAGCCGAGUUGAGAGACUGAUCGGCCACAUUGGGGGCUGAGACACGGCCCAAACUCCUACGGGAGGCAGCAGCC